rnacentral:lncRNA from 1 species
GCCAUUUUCGAGUGAUGCCUGAUCUCAUCAAUCUAGCGGGAGGGAAGGGAUAACCUGUCCGAGCCUAGCGCGACGCUAGGAUCACGCCGGAAAAUCCCCCAAAAAUCAUCAAAAAAAUUAACUUAGAGCAGAGGGCAGUCGGUGGGGCUUCGCCAGAUGCGGCGCAGUCGGUAAGAGCCUCAAGUAGCGAAGCGGGUCUCGAGAGGUGGCAGCGAUGGGACCGGAGGACCGUGAGGGGAGCAGGGACCGGACUCGGGGUCUGCCCUCACUUUCGCGGCAGAAGCUCCCCCAGGGGAUCCGGUUGCUAUUUUAACCAUUAGAAGAAUACCAGUUCUGGAAAACAACCAAAGUUUCUUUGAUUGAAUGCCCAUGUAAUGCAUUGGAAUAUGAUAGGCGAUUAAGGUUUAACAAUGUUAAAAUGAAGAUAUUACUAAAAUGGCCCUCUAAAUAGCCCAACAAUUAUUAUUUUCUUUGUCCUAUGGAUUUGGCUUUGAAAGAUGUGCUGCUCUUAAUAAGCAUUAAUUCUCUCUCUCGGGCAGAAACCUACGUGUUCCUCUUCCAGAGAGCUGGUGAAGCCAAAGGCAUUCUCAUAAUGAUGCGCUACACCGACUGACAUUUACCAACUGUGUCAAAGCUACAGGAGCCAGGUAGACACUGCUGGAACUUUAACGGGAAUCAAACAAGUCUAUAAGAAGCACUGAGCUGUGCCACUACCCAAUCAGUGUUCUUCCAGAGCACACAAACGAAAGUGGGAGGAGCCUUCCAAUGAGAACUGUUGUGUGAUUAAUCAAUGAGGCUGACUAAAGCACACACUUAUAAUCCCAAUACUCAGAAAGACAGAGGAAGAAGGAUAUCAGCGCAAGGCCAACAAGGCUUCAAAGCAAGUACCAACCCAGUAUGGACCAUGAGACCCUAUUUCAGAAACAAAUAAUAAAAGCUUGAUGAAGCUGCAAAAA